UACGUAGGGUGCGAGCGUUGUCCGGAAUUAUUGGGCGUAAAGGGCUCGUAGGCGGUUUGUCGCGUCGGGAGUGAAAACCAGGUGCUUAACACCUGGCUUGCUUUCGAUACGGGCAGACUAGAGGUAUGCAGGGGAGAACGGAAUUCCUGGUGUAGCGGUGAAAUGCGCAGAUAUCGGGAAGAACACCCGUGGCGAAGGCGGCUCUCUGGGCCGGUACUGACGCUGAGACGCGAAAGCGUGGGGAGCGAACAGG
rnacentral:rRNA from 1 species